AUUCAGCUGACGAGUCGAAAAUAGGACGAAGUGCGCAUCCUGAAU
rnacentral:hammerhead_ribozyme from 1 species